GUCGGGCAUGGUGGUGGGUGCCUGUAAUCCCAGCUACUUUGGAAGCUGAGACAGGAGAAUCACUUGAACCCGGGAAGCAGAGGUUGCAGUGAGCCAAAAUUGUGCCACUGCACUCCAGCCUGGGUGACAGAGUGAGACUCUGUCUCAU
ensembl:misc_RNA Metazoa_SRP Metazoan signal recognition particle RNA